UGAAGACAGUUGUUUCUUCUACGUUACCUCCAAGGUUCAAGGCAUCCUCCAAGGAGCUUGGUGUGAGGUUCAGGAAGGCCACAAUGAACUGCUGGCACAGGGGGCCAUCAGGCCUUGCAGCAGCCCAGUGCUGGAUGCAGGCCCUGCAGUAGGUGUGCCCACUGGGGACAACACCAACAGAGAUAGAUGAAGCACUCCUCCUCCAUUAGGCCCUCUACCAUCUCCCUGUACCUCCUGGCAGAUAUCCACAGCUUCCCCAGCACAGAGGGGCUCAGGUGGCCUGCUGGAGACUGCCUCCCACAGAGGGGAACUUGGUAGCCACCCCCUGCUGUGAGGUCGUGGUGUAACAGUGACCCACCAGUGACAUCACAAGGCAGACAGAUACAGGCCUACCUUUGCAUCUCAGUAGCUGUCACCUCCAGGGUUAGGACAUCCAUUAUACCCCCUAGACAACUUAAUCUAGGGCCUUACAAUCACUUGAAAAAAAAGUUCAGGCUUAACACCUACCCUUAAAUCUCUUACUGUUUAGGCAGUCCCCGUUAUUCUAUUACUAUCUACCAGUGCAAAAAGACACCCCCCUCUAGUUGAUAAGCUCCUUUUAGAUCUGGAUGCAGUACUGCAGAUGGGGCCUCACAAGAACAAAGCAGAGGCAAAACAAUCAUCUCCCUCGUCCUGCUGGCCACCUGUCUUUCAAUACAACCCAGCCUUCCAGACUGCAAGCACAUGCUGGUAAGUUGUCGCAGUGGCCUGUGAAGACGUCCAUCUGCUUUCAGCAUUUCCAAGGAUCUCACUUUGCUUCGUGGCGCCGUUCAGAAAAAUCAGAAGCCCAGCACUUCAGCUCUCCUAAGGUCUGCGAGAUGCAAGAGAGUUGCAAGUGAUAGAUAUUAAAGGACUAGCUGGUGGG